CCUACGGGAGGCAGCAGUGGGGAAUAUUGCACAAUGGGGGAAACCCUGAUGCAGCGACGCCGCGUGAGUGAAGAAGUAUUUCGGUAUGUAAAGCUCUAUCAGCAGGGAAGAAAAUGACGGUACCUGAAUAAGAAGCCCCGGCUAACUACGUGCCAGCAGCCGCGGUAAUACGUAGGGGGCAAGCGUUAUCCGGAUUUACUGGGUGUAAAGGGAGCGUAGACGGCAGCACAAGUCUGGAGUGAAAUGCCGGGGCUUAACCCCGGAACUGCUUUGGAAACUGUGCAGCUAGAGUGCAGGAGAGGUGAGUAGAAUUCCUAGUGUAGCGGUGAAAUGCGUAGAGAUUAGGAGGAACACCAGUGGCGAAGGCGGCUUACUGGACUGAGACUGACGUUGAGGCGCGAAAGCGUGGGGAGCAAACAGGAUUAGAUACCCGUGUAGUC
rnacentral:rRNA from 1 species